UACGAGGGGGGCGAGCGUUGUUCGGAAUUAUUGGGUGUAAAGAGCUCGUAGGCGGUUUGUCGCGUCGGCUGUGAAAUCCCGAGGCUCAACCUCGGGCCUGCAGUCGAUACGGGCAAACUAGAGUGUGGUAGGGGAGACUGGAAUUCCUGGUGUAGCGGUGAAAUGCGCAGAUAUCAGGAGGAACACCGGCGGCGAAGGCGGGUCUCUGGGCCAUAACUGACGCUGAGGAGCGAAAGCGUGGGGAGCGAACAGG
rnacentral:rRNA from 1 species